rnacentral:lncRNA from 1 species
UCCAAUGUACCAAAUACACUUAAAAACUAAGAAGUUUGAUUCUCAUCCAGUGAAAAAGUAUCAAAUAAAUUGCGAUUUAAUAACUAAGCCAAAUACAAAAGAUACAUCCAUGAACAAAGAAAGGAAGCCUCUUCAUACAAGGAGAUAUUUCAUUAUUAUUAGAAAGAAAAUAACACUUAGGGUAUGUGUAAAUACCAGUCUAAAAACUCUCCCCAUAAUUAAUGUUACACAACUUUGUCCAAUUAAUUAGCGGUUGAGACAGUAACCACCAGAAGAACAAGCAGGGCAACCCCUCAUAUAGCAAUCAUUGUGAGUUUGACAAGAAAAUCUUGGGCAUCUACCUGCUUGUGGAAGCAGCUUGCUUCUCACUAGUUCAAUUCUUGCUGCUGUUCCUUCACCUGCAACUACUUCUUCUAUGGCAUCUGCCUUUACCAUUCGAGCUGAUGCAACUGCAAAGAUUUUCUCAUUAUCAUACACUUCAUUUCAAGAUCGAGAAAUCUAAAGAGAGAGAGAGAGAGUACGAACCAAUGGUAAACAUGAGGAGGACAAUGAACAAAGCAAGAUUGGCUGAAGACCUGGAGGCCAUGUUUUCUAGUCUUCAAGUGUAAUUAAAUUAUAUGACCGCCAUAUGUUUUCCUACUAUUAAU